GAACAUGUAGUGGGAACACUGCCUGACGCCUCUGGUAAAACUUCACUGACUCUCAGGGAAGCCACAAUGUCAGACGCAGGACGCUACUUUGCCAUUAUGAACUUCGGAAAGACACAUGUUAGUGGCUCCGCUCAGUAUUUGGUUGUAACAGACACUUCUGCUCCUGCCAUGCGCUUGUAUCGAGGGGCUGAUGGCCUUGGCUUUCCCUUGUUUCUCUGUGAGGUGACGGGAGCUGGUGCAAACUGGGGAGAUCCUUAUUGGCAAAUCAAGGGAGAGGGGGCAGAUGGAUGGCUCGAAGGAACCACAGGAAGACGAAUCGAGACUGACGGAGUCUUCACUCGAUGGUCCACUGUCAGACUCAACUCUACACUUAAUGUGGCAUGCGCGUGUCGCCACCAGAACCAGACGAGUGUCCUUGUCAGAUCCUAUGAAUUAGAAGCGCCAGAUGUUUCAUCAGGUGCAGCGUGUGAAUGGCUGGUUUUCCUGAGUCCCCCGUGCCUUCUCCUGAUCCUGCUCACGAUGGCGGUAGCCUUGCUUUGGGCACGGAGAGUCUGCCGACUCAGAGCUGCAUGAUGCAAGCCAGAAAUAAGGACAUUUGAAAUACGUGUCAAUGUGUUACAUGCAAUGUGUUACAUACGUUCCAUUUUUGUAAUUACAAUUUAGUUAAAUUACCUCUUUCCCUAUCUUUCUCAUCACAAUACUGUCAAUAACAACAACAACAGAGAACUUACUGCUGUUAAAGUGCAAACAUUUGUGUUUAGCUUGAGACUAAUUUUACAAAG
rnacentral:lncRNA from 1 species